rnacentral:tRNA from 1 species
GGAGAGGUGGCCGAGUGGUUUAAGGCAGCGGUCUUGAAAACCGCCGAGGGUUACACCUCCGUGAGUUCGAAUCUCACCCUCUCCGCCA